GUUGAGGUCUGUGGAAGAGAUGUCCAUUGGAGAAAUGGCUGGUAGUUACUCUUUUUUCCCCCCACCCCCUUAAUCAGACUUUAAAAGUGCUUAACCCCUUAAACUUGUUAUUUUUUACUUGAAGCAUUUUGGGAUGGUCUUAACAGGGAAGAGAGAGGGUGGGGGAGAAAAUGUUUUUUUCUAAGAUUUUCCACAGAUGCUAUAGUACUAUUGACAAACUGGGUUAGAGAAGGAGUGUACCGCUGUGCUGUUGGCACGAACACCUUCAGGGACUGGAGCUGCUUUUAUCCUUGGAAGAGUAUUCCCAGUUGAAGCUGAAAAGUACAGCACAGUGCAGCUUUGGUUCAUAUUCAGUCAUCUCAGGAGAACUUCAGAAGAGCUUGAGUAGGCCAAAUGUUGAAGUUAAGUUUUCCAAUAAUGUGACUUCUUAAAAGUUUUAUUAAAGGGGAGGGGCAAAUAUUGGCAAUUAGUUGGCAGUGGCCUGUUACGGUUGGGAUUGGUGGGGUGGGUUUAGGUAAUUGUUUAGUUUAUGAUUGCAGAUAAACUCAUGCCAGAGAACUUAAAGUCUUAGAAUGGAAAAAGUAAAGAAAUAUCAACUUCCAAGUUGGCAAGUAACUCCCAAUGAUUUAGUUUUUUUCCCCCCAGUUUGAAUUGGGAAGCUGGGGGAAGUUAAAUAUGAGCCACUGGGUGUACCAGUGCAUUAAUUUGGGCAAGGAAAGUGUCAUAAUUUGAUACUGUAUCUGUUUUCCUUCAAAGUAUAGAGCUUUUGGGGAAGGAAAGUAUUGAACUGGGGGUUGGUCUGGCCUACUGGGCUGACAUUAACUACAAUUAUGGGAAAUGCAAAAGUUGUUUGGAUAUGGUAGUGUGUGGUUCUCUUUUGGAAUUUUUUUCAGGUGAUUUAAUAAUAAUUUAAAACUACUAUAGAAACUGCAGAGCAAAGGAAGUGGCUUAAUGAUCCUGAAGGGAUUUCUUCUGAUGGUAGCUUUUGUAUUAUCAAACAGGUAUCUCUUCGUUAUCAGAAGAGUUGCUUCAUUUCAUCUGGGAGCAGAAAACAGCAGGCAGCUGUUAACAGAUAAGUUUAACUUGCAUCUGCAGUAUUGCAUGUUAGGGAUAAGUGCUUAUUUUUAAGAGCUGUGGAGUUCUUAAAUAUCAACCAUGGCACUUUCUCCUGACCCCUUCCCUAGGGGAUUUCAGGAUUGAGAAAUUUUUCCAUCGAGCCUUUUUAAAAUUGUAGGACUUGUUCCUGUGGGCUUCAGUGAUGGGAUAGUACACUUCACUCAGAGGCAUUUGCAUCUUUAAAUAAUUUCUUAAAAGCCUCUAAAGUGAUCAGUGCCUUGAUGCCAACUAAGGAAAUUUGUUUAGCAUUGAAUCUCUGAAGGCUCUAUGAAAGGAAUAGCAUGAUGUGCUGUUAGAAUCAGAUGUUACUGCUAAAAUUUACAUGUUGUGAUGUAAAUUGUGUAGAAAACCAUUAAAUCAUUCAAAAUAAUAAACUAUUUUUAUUAGAGAAUGUAUACUUUUAGAAAGCUGUCUCCUUAUUUAAAUAAAAUAGUGUUUGUCUGUAGUUCAGUGUUGGGGCAAUCUUGGGGGGGAUUCUUCUCUAAUCUUUCAGAAACUUUGUCUGCGAACACUCUUUAAUGGACCAGAUCAGGAUUUGAGCGGAAGAACGAAUGUAACUUUAAGGCAGGAAAGACAAAUUUUAUUCUUCAUAAAGUGAUGAGCAUAUAAUAAUUCCAGGCACAUGGCAAUAGAGGCCCUCUAAAUAAGGAAUAAAUAACCUCUUAGACAGGUGGGAGAUUAUGAUCAGAGUAAAAGGUAAUUACACAUUUUAUUUCCAGAAAGUCAGGGGUCUAUAAAUUGACAGUGAUUAGAGUAAUACUUUUUCACAUUUCCAAAGUUUGCAUGUUAACUUUAAAUGCUUACAAUCUUAGAGUGGUAGGCAAUGUUUUACACUAUUGACCUUAUAUAGGGAAGGGAGGGGGUGCCUGUGGGGUUUUAAAGAAUUUUCCUUUGCAGAGGCAUUUCAUCCUUCAUGAAGCCAUUCAGGAUUUUGAAUUGCAUAUGAGUGCUUGGCUCUUCCUUCUGUUCUAACUUCACAGAGAAUGCAGUUGUCUUGACUUCAGGUCUGUCUGUUCUGUUGGCAAGUAAAUGCAGUACUGUUCUGAUCCCGCUGCUAUUAGAAUGCAUUGUGAAACGACUGGAGUAUGAUUAAAAGUUGUGUUCCCCAAUGCUUGGAGUAGUGAUUGUUGAAGGAAAAAAUCCAGCUGAGUGAUAAAGGCUGAGUGUUGAGGAAAUUUCUGCAGUUUUAAGCAGUCGUAUUUGUGAUUGAAGCUGAGUACAUUUUGCUGGUGUAUUUUUAGGUAAAAUGCUUUUUGUUCAUUUCUGGUGGUGGGAGGGGACUGAAGCCUUUAGUCUUUUCCAGAUGCAACCUUAAAAUCAGUGACAAGAAACAUUCCAAACAAGCAACAGUCUUCAAGAAAUUAAACUGGCAAGUGGAAAUGUUUAAACAGUUCAGUGAUCUUUAGUGCAUUGUUUAUGUGUGGGUUUCUCUCUCCCCUCCCUUGGUCUUAAUUCUUACAUGCAGGAACACUCAGCAGACACACGUAUGCGAAGGGCCAGAGAAGCCAGACCCAGUAAGAAAAAAUAGCCUAUUUACUUUAAAUAAACCAAACAUUCCAUUUUAAAUGUGGGGAUUGGGAACCACUAGUUCUUUCAGAUGGUAUUCUUCAGACUAUAGAAGGAGCUUCCAGUUGAAUUCACCAGUGGACAAAAUGAGGAAAACAGGUGAACAAGCUUUUUCUGUAUUUACAUACAAAGUCAGAUCAGUUAUGGGACAAUAGUAUUGAAUAGAUUUCAGCUUUAUGCUGGAGUAACUGGCAUGUGAGCAAACUGUGUUGGCGUGGGGGUGGAGGGGUGAGGUGGGCGCUAAGCCUUUUUUUAAGAUUUUUCAGGUACCCCUCACUAAAGGCACCGAAGGCUUAAAGUAGGACAACCAUGGAGCCUUCCUGUGGCAGGAGAGACAACAAAGCGCUAUUAUCCUAAGGUCAAGAGAAGUGUCAGCCUCACCUGAUUUUUAUUAGUAAUGAGGACUUGCCUCAACUCCCUCUUUCUGGAGUGAAGCAUCCGAAGGAAUGCUUGAAGUACCCCUGGGCUUCUCUUAACAUUUAAGCAAGCUGUUUUUAUAGCAGCUCUUAAUAAUAAAGCCCAAAUCUCAAGCG
ensembl:lncRNA MALAT1 metastasis associated lung adenocarcinoma transcript 1